AGAAUCAGCCUGAGCUGCUCAGAGUGACUCGGAGUGGGGGUCCCAACAUGGCCCUCAGGUAGGGAGGAGGCCAGCCCCCAAGUUGUGUUGCAGCCCGGGCGCUGUGUGUGGGGCAGGGCCCGCGUGCAGUGCAGGCCCCGGACCGGCCUGGCUGGCCGACCGUGCUUGGGCCUGGCGUGGAGUGAAGACUCCUGAUCGGAAUCCAGUUUCCUCCUAGGAGGGAGCUGGCAGUGCUGAGCCCAGCCCUCACUCCUGCUCUGUCAGAGGGCACCUCGUGCCACUCUCUAAGGCUUGCUCACUGAUGGGCCCUGGUUCCAUCCUCCCAGCCUCCCUCUGAGGAGGGUACUUUCCAGCUCUGAGAGGCUGAGUUCCCUGGUGAACGUCACCAGCAGAGCCCACACUGGACAGUGCUCCCAUCAGCAUCUCAGACCCCUUAGCUCCGCUCGCCCCAGGCCUGGCGUCAGCCUGGCCUAUGAACCCACGUCCCAAGCACUAGCAGAGGGCUUCAGCAGGUUCUGGGGGCUGCCUUUUCCCAUCACACCGUGGAGGUGGAAGGGAUUCUAACUCUGAGCCUGGGAUUUCCACAGGGAGCUGGAAAGGCAGCACUUGGCCCUCCUGUUCUGCUGUAGCCGUCUCCUAGGUACCUGGGGUGUGUCAGGCGUGUGCAGGUGAAGUGUCCACGGCGGGAAGACGGCAGGAAAGGGCAGUGGCCCCUGCCCUGGGGGAGGUCGGGGGUGGGAGUCACAGCAGGUGAUGUCUGAGCCAGGACUUGAAGGACCAACAGGACUGAGUUGAGGGAAAAGGAGAAAGGACACAGUAGGAGAAAAACCCUAGGGUUUAAAAUUGUGGAGAAAACCCACACUGUCAGCACUGGGUUGGAGCUGACCAGGCAGAGGUAGCGGUGGAAGCUCCCCGCAGGCUCGCUGGGAGGUGAUGACUGCUGAAGGUGAGCUCAGACUAAACUGCGGAAAGCCUGGAGGUGCCCUGGGCGGAGGCUGGCUGAGGAUGGCCUCAGAGUGGGGUGAGGACCACCUUCUCGUUCCCUCGGCCAUUUGUGGAGCUGGCUUGAGCCUCUAGGCCUUUCACCGUCUCAGAGGCUGGGGUUCUCAAGGGGAAAUGCAGUGUUGUUGCCUGGUGGGCUCUGGAUUCGAGUCCUUGCCCCUUGUGUAUUGGCUGAGUGUCUGGGCAGGCCCCCUGGGCACAAGUGACCUCAUCGGUUUGUCGUGAGGAGGAAGUGACGUGGUAGGUGGGGGUGCCCGGCACAGAGCCCGGCACGUUCAGCACACUCGCGUGACCUCCUGCUUGGUGGGUCGGAGGUCAGGCAAGGCUCUCAGAGACAAAGGGAGAGCAGCGGCAGCCCUUGGGGGGCUCUCGCUGGCAGAGUAGCCUGGCCGUCAUCCUGACUGGGGGGGUGGUCUAGAGGGGCACAGACUCGAAGAAGGUAGUGCCGACCUGAGGAAACGAAUGUCACGGCUAGAAGAAGAGCUGGACCAGGAGAAGAAGAAGUACACGAUGCUGGAAAUAAAGCUGCGGAACUCGGAGCGGGCGCGGGAGGACGCGGAGAAGAGGAACCAGCUGCUGCAGAAGGAAAUGGAGGAGUUUUUUUCAACCCUGGGAAGCCUGACCAUUGGGGCCAAAGGUGCCAGAGCCCCACAGUAAAGGAAUGGGGGGAACUCGCUUCGUGCCUCGUGGCGCACCCUCCCGUCGGCAGGGAGGAGGAGCCAGAGCCUCUGCAGCUGGGACCUGGGCCUCUGUGGUGCCCAGAGAUGCAGAGCCGGCUGGAGAGGGAAGUCCUGACACACACCACCCCAGCCCUGGGAUGCUGGGGGGCACCGUCGGGAGCCCGAGCUCCGCACGGGGUCUGGAUGCAGCUCUGACCACGCAGGCUGUGGCAGGCAUCAGAGGGGACAGUCCCGUGGCCACCGAAACAGACGGCACCCGGGAUCUGAGUAGCCCCCUGGGAACCUUUUGCAUUCUUUAUUAAAUCUGCUCUGAAAGCAUGAUGUCUGGA